rnacentral:rRNA from 1 species
GACGAACGCUGGCGGCGUGCUUAACACAUGCAAGUCGAACGGAAGGCCCUUCGGGGUACUCAAGUGGCGAACGGGUGAGUAACACGUGGGUGAUCUGCCCUGCACUCUGGGAUAAGCCUGGGAAACUGGGUCUAAUACCGGAUAUGAUCAUGCGCCUCAUGGUGUGUGGUGGAAAGCUUUUGCGGUGUGGGAUGGGCCCGCGGCCUAUCAGCUUGUUGGUGGGGUAAUGGCCUACCAAGGCGACGACGGGUAGCCGGCCUGAGAGGGUGACCGGCCACACUGGGACUGAGAUACGGCCCAGACUCCUACGGGAGGCAGCAGUGGGGAAUAUUGCACAAUGGGGCGCAAGCCUGAUGCAGCGACGCCGCGUGGGGGAUGACGGCCUUCGGUUGU